UGGGGAAUAUUGCGCAAUGGGGGAAACCCUGACGCAGCAACGCCGCGUGAAGGAUGAAGGUUUUCGGAUUGUAAACUUCUUUAGUCGGGGACGAAACAUGACGGUACCCGAAGAAUAAGCCACGGCUACCUACGUGCCAGCAGCCGCGGCAAUACGUAGGUGGCAAGCGUUGUCCGGAAUUACUGGGUGUAAAGGGCGGGUAGGCGGGUGCUUAAGUCAGAUGUGAAAUUCCCAGGCUCACCCUGGGCG
rnacentral:rRNA from 1 species